UAGGGAAUCUUCGGCAAUGGGGGGAACCCUGACCGAGCAACGCCGCGUGAGUGAAGAAGGAUUUCGGUUCGUAAAACUCUGUUGUUAGAGAAGAACAGCGCAUAGAGUAACUGUUAUGCGUGUGACGGUAUCUAACCAGAAAGCCACGGCUAACUACGUGCCAGCAGCCGCGGUAAUACGUAGGUGGCAAGCGUUGUCCGGAUUUAUUGGGCGUAAAGCGAGCGCAGGCAGUCAAUUGAGUCCGAUGUGAAAGCCCCCGGCUCAACCGGGGAGGGUCAUUGGAAACUGGUUGACUUGAGUGCAGAAGAGGAGAGUGGAAUUCCAUGUGUAGCGGUGAAAUGCGUAGAUAUAUGGAGGAACACCAGUGGCGAAGGCGAAUCUCUGGUCUGUAACUGACGCUGAGGUUCGAAAGCGUGGGUAGCAAACAGG
rnacentral:rRNA from 1 species